CAUGGUGUAUGAUCACAUAGUGAGUGGAGGAUUUCUAUUUCCUCCACUCACACAUUUUCACAUUUAAUCUCUUUCUUCCUCACCACAAAACCCUAGCCUCCAUGGAGGAAGCUUGAAGCUUUAGGCAUUGACCUUGAUCUUUGAGGCCCUUCCACUUUCUUUAGACCAUAAAGCUUGAAAUAUUUUUUGUUCCCCUCAUCCUCCUCUUCAAAACCCUUGAAGGAUCUAUCCUAACUCCUAAUUUUGCUUUGGUAUCUAAAGAUUCAAUUCUCUAGUGAGGUAACAAGCUAAAAUAUCUGUCUUGCGGACCAAAAAUUUAGGGCGAUUUCAUUUCGGUGGUAAUUGGGAUUUUCAUUCCAAUUGAGGUACAGGAUACAAGAUUGGAUAUUGCAAUUACUUGGGUGAUUUGCUGAGUUGAGCUUCUUUAGAAACAUUCUUGUUCACAUGCAAGUGUUAGCAUGUUCAUCAUUUGUCUAUGAAAUGUAAUUUUUCUAACUUGGAGGUCUGACAUGUUAAAUGUUGUAAAUGAGUUGUAAUAAGGCCAUGGGCCAUUGUAGCAUGUUUAAAAUACCAUUUUACACUUGCGUGUAUGUUCACAUCAUCACACAAUAGAAUAUAAUGCAAUUUGAUCAUGCCAUGGGGAGUCAUUGGGAUGACGUACAUCUCUAGUGGCCACUUAGUUUCCUUCGUUUUCGCAUUUCGGAUCCGUUAUCAGGUCAUUCUUUCGGUUCAUCACAGGACACACUGGGUUAAAAAAUCUAGGGUCGUCACAGGUGGUAUUAGAGCUCCUAGGUUCGAAAACUUUAAGACGACGGGUUUGGGUGCAUAUCAUGCUUUUAUUGCCAUGCUCUAUGUGUUUAUAUACUUUGUGAUAACAUGUUUUGGUUGAUAAUAUGUUUAUGUGCUUACGUGCUAUAUGUUGUAUGCCGUUUGUUUAGCAUUGUUUUAUUGUAAUGUAAAGAGUAUGACAUGUGACGUAUGCUAGAUUAGAAUUGUAUAUGCAUAAUUGUGAUGCACAUUUGGCAUGACAUGUGAUUGGUCAUUGAGGCACGAGUUGACGUUGAUGGUGAUUGUAGUCACAGUUUCGUGGUAGUAUAGGUUAUUGUCGACCUAGUAAUGGUUUUGAGGUGGGUGGAUGGUCAUCUUUUGUUUAGACUCUUGUGAGAUGAGUCAUUUGGCAUUACCGUAAUGGUGGAUUUGUUGGUUUUGGGCCAUUAUGAGGUUAUGGACCUCUUAGGUACCUUGAUUGUCCAGAAAAAUUCCUCUAGAACUUGCAUUUUUCGUGGGCGGGUACGUUUGUGGGCAGGUGCAUGGCAUUGUCAUGCUACCGUGCUGGCUAGCUACAAGCGUAAUUCGGAUGGAAUCAGUGUUGGUUUUGUUUUGAUAAGCGUUGUACUUUGAUCGGUGAUGAUGAUGGUUGUUUUGGAGAUCAUUCGUGGUGAUUGAUUUGGUUGUUGUUGGUAUGGCUAUAGUUGCCAUUUUCUUUGAGUUCUCUUUACGCAAUGACGCUUUUAGGAUCAAGUCGAUUGAUAGAUGCUUCGGGUAGAGAGAGCAUUGCAUUGUUAGUGUCACUUGUAGUGUCACCUUUAGAUUCAGAGAUGGAUUGUAAGAGUCUUACCAUUGUGGUAAGGGCUCACAUUUGUUUUGAGACAGGUUGUUGUUGCAUUGGUUUUUGGAGUCAGUGUAUGGCUAGGACUGGUCCUUCCUUUUUACCUAGGCACUCCAGGACACGAUGUCCAUAGGGUUCAUUGUUGCAUCACUUUUGUUUUCUGCAGUUUCAUUUACUACCAUGUUAGUAGUAUGAUUUAUGAUAUUGUGAUGCAUGAGUAGGUGGAGGUCUAUCCACAUUUUUCUUCUUGUUGUGUGGCGAUAACAUGCCUUUCUUAUAUGCUUCGAGAUGCCAUGUUGUUACUGCGCUUUAAUGACAUGUUUUUGUGUUUAUGUGGAGACGUGCAGUAUGUGCUUUUGAUUUUCAUCUAUGUGAGUAGAUUUUCUUUCUGGUAGUUGCAUUCCUUGUCAUAUGCAUGACUUCCAGGUUUGGUUUUCCCAUUCGUUUCCCUUGGUCGUACGUAGCCUAUAUGCGGGUUUCCACAAUGGUUUUGUGUUGGUUCGUGUUAAGGACUUCACAAGGAGUGAGUCUCUUCCCUCCGUUGCGUUAUGCACUGUUUUGGGGUUGGUCGGUCCAUGAGGAUCAUCGUUAUUGUCUUGAGUCCUUGGUGAGGAUUUGAUAGAUUUUGGUCGACUUACUUCCAUGUAGGGGGUGAAGUCUUUGACCUUAUUGUCUUUCAUUUCAGAGAUGGAGUCAUGGUGUUGUCCUUUUUAGGACUAGUGGUCCCCUUUCUUUCGUGUCUUCUCUUGGGGAGUUCCUGCCGUGGUUAUUGAUGGUUGUGGUGCUCAAAGUGAGUUGAUUGAUGUGAGAUUCUUUUUCGGGGACUUAUGUCCAUAUCAUUGAGGAUUUGUUUGAUUUGUGAGGUGAGCUCGAUGCACUUUUGAGAAUGUCUUUCGGAGACUUGUUUUCAUUUUGGAGGCCUUGAUGUGGUUGACUCUUAGGAAGAGUUUUGGAGGAUCACUGUUAGAUAUGGCUUGUUGAGGAGUUUUCUCAUCCUAGUUAUGACUAGGCAUAGUUUUGAGGAAUUGUUGUUCCAGUGAUGGUUCUUGGAUUGAAAUUGAGGAAUUUUGAUUUAGCUUGGUAAUGCCAAGCACGGUUUUGAGAGAUUCAUUUUGUGACCUUGGUUGUUGGCAUUUUGAUGUGAGUGCCACUUAGUGGACUUGUAUUUUGAGGAUUUAGUUAUCCGUGAUAAGGUUGUGGAUCUGAUGUUUGAUCAUGGUGAUUGGUCAUGUAGUUGAUCUGUUUCAGGGAGAAAUGUAGGACUUUCGAUGAAAUGUCUUGUAGUGAGUUUCGUUUUAAUUUUUGGAGGUCUUGAUUCGCUUCUCAGGCUUUGGAUUCUCGAUUGAUGUUGUUGGUAGUAGCAUUUUGAGACAUUAGAGUAGUCGGUUUUGUUGUAUUGAGGAUUUGGAGCCUUAAACAUAAUGGUGCCUAUAACAUUGUUGUCAGAGUUUGGGAUUGGUCGAGUUGGCCCAGAACAUCUUUGGACCAUAUUCUAACUCUCACAGAUGCCUAGUUCCCAUAUUGCUUUUGGCUAUGAUCGUUUUGUGACAUUGAUGUCAUUGGUAUUGAGAGGUUUCAUGGAUAGACCUAGUGGGGGGUAGGUUAUGAAUUAGUGCCUUAUACUGUCAUACUAUCGUACGAAGUUGUGUGUUGUGGGCGAGUACUAGUUGCCGUCGAUGCUACCUUACUGACGAAUAAGUGUGGGCGAGCACUAAGCACUGUCAUUGCUACCACACAUUUGAGUACGUCAUGGGCGGGUUCUGGUCGCUAUUCAUACUGCCAUGUCGUCUUUGUUCGGUACUUUGAUUUGAUUUGUGAUGAUCUUGGAGUUCAAUUGGUGGUUGUUUAUGGAUCGGUUUGGAGGUUCAUCAGGAGGAAUGCUUAUGGUUGUUGUUUUCCAUUCUUUUGUUUGACCUUAGGUUCUGUGUGUAAGUUCAGACUUGUCGUGUGGCCAUGUGGUCACUUUUCCUUUGAGAGGUCGUCUUGUCAUGAGCACGUGGGUGCAAAUGACACUGGUUUGUAUGUUCCUUUCAGCUUUGAGGUCACUAGUGUGGCAUGUUGUGUGGGAUACUCGGAGAUGUACUCUGUAGUUAUCUUGGUUUCGCCUUUUGUUGGUUGGGGCUGGAUUUCGGGGACGAAAUCCCUUUAAGGUGGGAAGGUUGUAAUAACCCGGAUUUUCACGGAUAAUUUUUUUUCCGUUGUCUUUUCCUUUUUGGGUUCAGUUUUUCAUCACUUGAUGUCGUCUCGAGUGCUCUGGAAUGAUUUUCGAGGCUCUUUUCCUUGGAUUAACAACUUUCUUUGGGGAUUGUGUCAUUUCCAUAUUUUAUUUUUUUCCGAACACUAUUCACAUUUUGUCUUUUUCUCGUUUAUCCUUUUUCCUUUCACAACCUCACUUUUUGUGCUCGGAUUUGAUUCCGGUUUUGCAUGCAUUCAUGAUAUUUGAUUUCCAUGAUAGUGGUAUUUUUACUUUUCUAUAAAAGCAUGUUGAUUGCUUACUUCCUUCAUAAAGGGGCAUUAAUGCAUACUUUAGUGUAAUUCUUCUUAACUUGUGGGGUUUUAGUGUAAUUAAAUAAAGUAAUUAUUUUACAUCUUGGGGACCAUUUUGCAAUUAAAUUUAGAAGAUAUUUUCAAAAAAGCCUUUUUGCAAUUUUUGAAAAUUGUGACAAAUGUCACACUCUCAUUGGUCCACUUGUUGACAUUUGUGUGGAAACACUUUGAUGCAUUGGAUGAUGACAUUUAGAGGGUGAGGAUUCACCCUCUUGUUAGCCUAGGAUUGGUGCACUUGUUGGCUUAGAUGGUUGACAAGUGUAGGUGUGGGAUUAAGCCUAGGAAGGAGCCAUGGAUUGGUAACAAGUGUAGGUUCACAAUUUAGUCUUGCAAAUAUCUUUGGGCCACUUUGGGAUUAUGGUUUUAAAGGAGAGUUUUUGUGCAAUUGGCCAUAGAUGUGUGUGUUGAUCGUGGUGUAGGAUCACAUAGUGAGUGGAGGAUUUCUAUUUCCUCCACUCACACAUUUUCACAUUUAAUCUCUUUCUUCCUCACCACAAAGCCCUAGCCUCCAUGGAUGAAGCUUGAAACUUUAGGCAUUGACCUUGAUCUUUGAGGCCCUUCCACUUAUUUUAGACCAUAAAGCUUGGAAUACUUUUUGUUCCCCUCAUCCUCCUCUUCAAAACCUUUGAAGGUUCUAGCCUAACUCCUAAUUUUGCUUUGGUAUCUAGAGAUUCAAUUCUCUAGUGAGUGAUUGUAUGGAUUGGAGAGGUGAAGCUGGAUGACUCGACCAGUAACAUUGUUGCAGCGGACUCCAGUCCAAGUACAACAAUCUUGUUGGAGUCCAGACCAUGAGGAUAGCCUGUUGGAAGGAUCCCAACUGAUACCUUGUUUGAAAUUGAGAAGAGCUGUUUUUUCUUUUUCACUGCAAACUCCAUGUGAAGUACCAUCACAUAAUAAUAAUAGGGCAGUUGAGAAUGAUAGCAGCCAAAGCGUGACAAGCGCUAUGCGGCUCCUCAUCAUCAUCAUCUUCAAUUCUAUCUGAUUACAAAUUUAUGAUAUCAAAUUCGUUGAUCAUAUAUGUAAAAGAAAACUCAGACAUUAUAUAUAUACACACUGUAUAUACCUUCAUUUCUGGAUCUUUUACCAAUGGGUGGGGCCCAUGUAGAAAUGAAGAUCAACUGCCCACCACAAACUUCCUGCCACGAUAAUGGAUCCAUCCAAUUUGACUUGGGAUACUGUUCACUCAUUUCAUUGUCAACGCCAAUUGCAAAACCAAAGUCUUGAAUAACAGAAAUUAAACAUGGAUUUUUUUAUUUUCUAAAAGUUCCACUUGUCUGAGUAUGGGGCUGAGA